rnacentral:rRNA from 1 species
GACGAACUGUCCUAACGUUGUUCGGAAUCACUGGGCUUAAAGGGCGCGUAGGCGGUCGAUCAAGUCAGGGGUGGAAUCCUACAGCUUAACUGUAGAAGUGCCUUUGAUACUGGUUGUCUUGAGGGAGGUAGGGGUGUGUGGAACUCACAGUGGAGCGGUGAAAUGCGUAGAUAUCGGAAGGAACGCCGGUGGCGAAAGCGAGCUGCUGGAUCCCUCCUGACGCUGAGGCGCGAAAGCCAGGGGAGCGAACGGG